rnacentral:tRNA from 2 species
CUGGGUGUGGCGCAGUUUGGUAGCGUGCCUGAAUGGGGUUCAGGAGGCCGGAAGUUCAAGUCUUCUCACCCAGA